UUUGCCCAGUAUGGUGUGGGGUUUGUUAAUUCUGUACGUUCAACAAAUACCAUCUCCAAGCAAGAAAGGAGUUUCAGCAUGCUCUUUAACUUAGGUUGCUGGAGGGAUGCCCUGAGUAAAGGACCUCCAGAUCUGCUCUGGACAGCACUUGCAAGAAUCUGCAGUUUCCCAUGUGCUGAUGUAACCUCGUGUCAUCUGCCACCCACUCGGCUGCCCUGCUGAGAUUUGUUCCAUUGCCUCCAAUUCUGUGUUUUAUCAGCUCUUUAAGCUGAAACUAAAAAACCCACACAUAAAGUAGUUAUUUUCGGAAGGGGAAACUGAUGGCUCUCUUUGUACAGAAACAUCUUACUUUCUCCUCAGCUCAUUUUAUAAAUUACUGCCUGCUCCAAACUGGACUGUUUAUCACUCUCAUCCUCAGCAGGGCUUUCUCAGCCCGUCGGCAGCUAUGUUUUGCCUUCCCAAUUUGUUUAGCCAAGAUUUAAGAUAGACAGAGACCGCUGCUCUUAUAAAUCCUGAUUUCAUUAGUGAUGAAGUGCCUGGCAAAAAGUCCCUGCGAUGGAUGCUCUGUGCUCCAUCUCCUGUGCAGCCUAACUAGGCCUCACACAGCGCGAUGAGCGCGGGAUGGCCAGAGCCCAGCGACACGCGAUAAUAAGAGCUAUGGAGAAAGUGGUCCCUGCGAGGCCUCAUUAUGGCUAUUUCUGGGGCUAAGUUACUGCUUCAGAGGGUGGAAAAGGCAUUUUUAUGGUGACUUCCCCAGAAUAAAAUGCAUCAUUUCUA